rnacentral:tRNA from 1 species
AGGCGUGUAAAAGCUGGGAGAGCAUCUGCCUUACAAGCAGAGGGUCAGCGGUUCGAUCCCGUUAACUCCCA